CAGCACAGAUGUGGGUAAGAGAAGAAAAAAAGUAAACCUCUGCAGUUCUCUUGUUCCAUGUUCCCAGAGAAAUCAAUGAAGCAGAGCUUUUCACUGUGUCUGGCCUGAUGGACACGCUUCAUCAGUGGGGAAUAGACAGCCACGCGAGGUGUUCUUACAGAGGUUCUCACUGUGUCUGGCCUGAUGGACACGCUUCAUCAGUGGGGAAUAGACAGCCACGCAAGGUGUUCUUACAGAGGUUCUCACUGUGUCUGGCCUGAUGGACACGCUUCAUCAGUGGGGAAUAGACAGCCACGCGAGGUGUUCUUACAGAGGUUCUCACUGUGUCUGGCCUGAUGGACACGCUUCAUCAGUGGGGAAUAGACAGCCACGCGAGGUGUUCUUACAGAGGUUCUCACUGUGUCUGGCCUGAUGGACACGCUUCAUCAGUGGGGAAUAGACAGCCACGCGAGGUGUUCUUACAGAGGUUCUCACUGUGUCUGGCCUGAUGGACACGCUUCAUCAGUGGGGAAUAGACAGCCACACGAGGUGUUCUUACAGAGGUUCUCACUGUGUCUGGCCUGAUGGACACGCUUCAUCAGUGGGGAAUAGACAGCCACGCGAGGUGUUCUUACAGAGGUUCUCACUGUGUCUGGCCUGAUGGACACGCUUCAUCAGUGGGGAAUAGACAGCCACGCGAGGUGUUCUUACAGAGGUUCUCACUGUGUCUGGCCUGAUGGACACGCUUCAUCAGUGGGGAAUAGACAGCCACGCGAGGUGUUCUUACAGAGGUUCUCACUGUGUCUGGCCUGAUGGACACGCUUCAUCAGUGGGGAAUAGACAGCCACGCGAGGUGUUCUUACAGAGGUUCUCACUGUGUCUGGCCUGAUGGACACGCUUCAUCAGUGGGGAAUAGACAGCCACGCGAGGUGUUCUUACAGAGGUUCUCACUGUGUCUGGCCUGAUGGACACGCUUCAUCAGUGGGGAAUAGACAGCCACACGAGGUGUUCUUACAGAGGUUCUCACUGUGUCUGGCCUGAUGGACACGCUUCAUCAGUGGGGAAUAGACAGCCACGCGAGGUGUUCUUACAGAGGUUCUCACUGUGUCUGGCCUGAUGGACACGCUUCAUCAGUGGGGAAUAGAC